rnacentral:rRNA from 1 species
CUACGGGAGGCAGCAGUGGGGAAUAUUGGACAAUGGGCGCAAGCCUGAUCCAGCAAUGCCGCGUGGGUGAAGAAGGUCUUCGGAUUGUAAAGCCCUUUCGGCGGGGACGAUGAUGACGGUACCCGCAGAAGAAGCCCCGGCUAACUUCGUGCCAGCAGCCGCGGUAAUACGAAGGGGGCUAGCGUUGCUCGGAAUUACUGGGCGUAAAGGGCGCGUAGGCGGCGGUGUCAGUCAGGCGUGAAAUUCCUGGGCUUAACCUGGGGGCUGCGCUUGAUACGGCACUGCUAGAGGUCAGAAGAGGCUCGUGGAAUUCCCAGUGUAGAGGUGAAAUUCGUAGAUAUUGGGAAGAACACCGGUGGCGAAGGCGGCGAGCUGGUCUGAUACUGACGCUGAGGCGCGACAGCGUGGGGAGCAAACAGGAUUAGAUACCCGGGUAGUCC